GGGUUGUGAGGUUAAGCGACUAAGCGUACACGGUGGAUGCCCUGGCAGUCAGAGGCGAUGAAGGACGUGCUAAUCUGCGAAAAGCGCCGGCGAGGUGAUAUGAACCUUUGACCCGGCGAUGUCCGAAUGGGGAAACCCAGUGCAAUCCGUUGCACUAUCGUUAACUGAAUACAUAGGUUAACGAGGCGAACCGGGGGAACUGAAACAUCUAAGUACCCCGAGGAAAAGAAAUCAACCGAGAUUCCCCCAGUAGCGGCGAGCGAACGGGGAGCAGCCCGGAGUCUGAAUCAGCUUGUGUGUUAGUGGAACGGUCUGGAAAGUCCGACGGUACAGGGUGAUAGUCCCGUACACGAAAGCACACAUGCUGUGAACUCGAAGAGUAGGGCGGGACACGUGGUAUCCUGUCUGAAUAUGGGGGGACCAUCCUCCAAGGCUAAAUACUCCUGACUGACCGAUAGUGAACCAGUACCGUGAGGGAAAGGCGAAAAGAACCCCGGCGAGGGGAGUGAAAAAGAACCUGAAACCGUGUACGUACAAGCAGUGGGAGCCUCUUUAUGGGGUGACUGCGUACCUUUUGUAUAAUGGGUCAGCGACUUAUAUUCUGUAGCAAGGUUAACCGUAUAGGGGAGCCGAAGGGAAACCGAGUCUUAACUGGGCGUUAAGUUGCAGGGUAUAGACCCGAAACCCGGUGAUCUAGCCAUGGGCAGGUUGAAGGUUGGGUAACACUAACUGGAGGACCGAACCGACUAAUGUUGAAAAAUUAGCGGAUGACCUGUGGCUGGGGGUGAAAGGCCAAUCAAACCGGGAGAUAGCUGGUUCUCCCCGAAAGCUAUUUAGGUAGCGCCUCGUGAACUCAUCUUCGGGGGUAGAGCACUGUUUCGGCUAGGGGGCCAUCCCGGCUUACCAACCCGAUGCAAACUACGAAUACCGAAGAAUGUUAUCACGGGAGACACACGGCGGGUGCUAACGUCCGUCGUGAAGAGGGAAACAACCCAGACCGCCAGCUAAGGUCCCAAAGUCAUGGUUAAGUGGGAAACGAUGUGGGAAGGCACAGACAGCCAGGAUGUUGGCUUAGAAGCAGCCAUCAUUUAAAGAAAGCGUAAUAGCUCACUGGUCGAGUCGGCCUGCGCGGAAGAUGUAACGGGGCUAAACCAUGCACCGAAGCUGCGGCAGCGACGCUUAUGCGUUGUUGGGUAGGGGAGCGUUCUGUAAGCCGUUGAAGGUGUCCUGUGAGGGGUGCUGGAGGUAUCAGAAGUGCGAAUGCUGACAUAAGUAACGAUAAAGCGGGUGAAAAGCCCGCUCGCCGGAAGACCAAGGGUUCCUGUCCAACGUUAAUCGGGGCAGGGUGAGUCGACCCCUAAGGCGAGGCCGAAAGGCGUAGUCGAUGGGAAACAGGUUAAUAUUCCUGUACUUGGUGUUACUGCGAAGGGGGGACGGAGAAGGCUAUGUCAGCCGGGCGACGGUUGUCCCGGUUUAAGCAUGUAGGCGGAGGUUCCAGGUAAAUCCGGUACCUUAUUAACGCUGAGGUGUGAUGACGAGGCACUACGGUGCUGAAGUGAUAAAUGCCCUGCUUCCAGGAAAAGCCUCUAAGCAUCAGGUAACACGAAAUCGUACCCCAAACCGACACAGGUGGUCAGGUAGAGAAUACCAAGGCGCUUGAGAGAACUCGGGUGAAGGAACUAGGCAAAAUGGUGCCGUAACUUCGGGAGAAGGCACGCUGAUAUGUAGGUGAAGUCCCUGCGGACGGAGCUGAAAUCAGUCGAAGAUACCAGCUGGCUGCAACUGUUUAUUAAAAACACAGCACUGUGCAAACACGAAAGUGGACGUAUACGGUGUGACGCCUGCCCGGUGCCGGAAGGUUAAUUGAUGGGGUUAGCGGCAACGCGAAGCUCUUGAUCGAAGCCCCGGUAAACGGCGGCCGUAACUAUAACGGUCCUAAGGUAGCGAAAUUCCUUGUCGGGUAAGUUCCGACCUGCACGAAUGGCGUAAUGAUGGCCAGGCUGUCUCCACCCGAGACUCAGUGAAAUUGAACUCGCUGUGAAGAUGCAGUGUACCCGCGGCAAGACGGAAAGACCCCGUGAACCUUUACUAUAGCUUGACACUGAACACUGGUCCUUGAUGUGUAGGAUAGGUGGGAGGCUUUGAAGCGUGGACGCCAGUCUGCGUGGAGCCAACCUUGAAAUACCACCCUUUAAUGGCUGGUGUUCUAACGUAGACCCGUAAUCCGGGUUGCGGACAGUGUCUGGUGGGUAGUUUGACUGGGGCGGUCUCCUCCCAAAGAGUAACGGAGGAGCACGAAGGUUGGCUAAUCCUGGUCGGACAUCAGGAGGUUAGUGCAAUGGCAUAAGCCAGCUUGACUGCGAGCGUGACGGCGCGAGCAGGUGCGAAAGCAGGUCAUAGUGAUCCGGUGGUUCUGAAUGGAAGGGCCAUCGCUCAACGGAUAAAAGGUACUCCGGGGAUAACAGGCUGAUACCGCCCAAGAGUUCAUAUCGACGGCGGUGUUUGGCACCUCGAUGUCGGCUCAUCACAUCCUGGGGCUGAAGUAGGUCCCAAGGGUAUGGCUGUUCGCCAUUUAAAGUGGUACGCGAGCUGGGUUUAGAACGUCGUGAGACAGUUCGGUCCCUAUCUGCCGUGGGCGCUGGAGAAUUGAGGGGGGCUGCUCCUAGUACGAGAGGACCGGAGUGGACGCAUCACUGGUGUUCGGGUUGUCAUGCCAAUGGCACUGCCCGGUAGCUAAAUGCGGAAGAGAUAAGUGCUGAAAGCAUCUAAGCACGAAACUUGCCCCGAGAUGAGUUCUCCCUGAGACCUUGAGUCUCCUGAAGGAACGUUGAAGACGACGACGUUGAUAGGUCGGGUGUGUAAGCGCAGCGAUGCGUUGAGCUAACCGAUACUAAUGAACCGUGAGGCUUAACCUUACAACGCCGAAGCUGUU
rnacentral:rRNA from 2 species